AUAUUUUUGAUAUUUUACUGAACAUUGAUAUGAUACUAUGUUCUUGCAAAUGUGUUAAAUUUUUGUAGUGUUUAUAAUUAUGUUUAAUUUGCCAGUUUCAUUCAGAUCUGUACCAGUAUUUGUUUAGAUAAACUGUAAAACCAGUUAUAUGUAGCUUACAGCACAUCAGAGGUUCUACUCAGGUUCCCUUAUGUUCCUGAAAUAAUGUAUCUACAUUUAAGCCUGUUUGUGCCUGAAAUAAAGUACAGAGUGGCACCUGAGGUCUAUCUCAACCAGUUAAGCUGGAAAGUUGUCAUAUGACAUACAGUGUUGGUGCGACAUAAAAACCCAACAAAAAACAAAACAAAUGUAGAUAUGCAUCUAUAGAAGAAUAGCAAAUAGAUCUUAAGGUGUCAUUUAGUUACAAUGUGUAAAUUUUGCUAGAACCUGUUCUAUUUUGAGAAACAUUUAGGAACAAAGUCAAGUAUUUCUUAGUUAUUUUGAAACAGAAAAUGGACUUUGUAUUUUUAUUAUGCAUAGAAAGUAUCAUAUGUAUGUUUUAUCAUAGAUAAAAAUAGACUGAUAAUAUGCCGUUAGAAGUCUAUAGAAAAUAAGUUAAAUAACUGAUUUGUUUUGGAUAAAAUGUAUUUUGUAUUUGUUGUAAGAUGAUGUUUAUGUAGUAUGAAAGUACAUUUUGGAAAUAAUAGACUUUUUUGUGUUUUGUUAUAUUUACACAAUGUAGAAAGUAUGUGAUAAUUAAAAACUCAUUUGGAAUGAAAUAUCAUAGUGAAAAUGAAUAAUUAUUAUUAGUAGGUCAGUGGUUGAAAUAUACAGUACUAGAUAUAUUUAUGAAAGAAGAUACUGCACUACAAAGGGAAGAUAAUUCAACUGUUUCCAAUUUUUUUAUGCAUCUUGUUUGUCAAGUACAGAAAAGGUUAAGAUAUUUAGGACAACUCACUCUGAACCUGCCUGAUUUUAUGUAAUGGAUUUGCCUUGUUAUGAAUUUAGAAAAGUCCACUCAUAGUUUAAGGUAUUUUAAUAUCAAGAUAAAAAAUGGGCUAGCAACAGUACAUAGCCUAAUCAGGCUGCACAGAUUUGUAGGAUGUUUUGGUUCAAUACAGAUGCCUUAGUCUGAUCAUUUUUUGUUUACUGCCUAAUUGAUCAUGUGCCAAUGUUCAUAGAAGAAAAAGUUUUUCUCUAAAGUAGGACAUGUGUAUGUUUUACUGUAUAUAACUUGUAAGUGACUGAAAUGUUUUUAACCCUUAACCUGCUGAAUAGACUUGCCUAUCUUUGAAAUUGGAACAGUCCGUUCAAAGUUUAAGGGUUUCAGUAUCAAAAUACAAAAAAUUAAGCAACCACCAGUAAAGAGUCUGGUCAGAUAGGUGGGCCUGGCUCCAUACUGAUGGCAAAGGCUAGGCAAGAAGGUUCCAGCAAGUUAAGGGUUAACUGCAGCUUAAAUUCGAAACAGUUCUAGUUUGUUCUUUCUAAUGCAGACUUACUGUCAGAUAAUAACAAAGGUAAAUAUGAUUAAAUUUAGUUCUAUUGUUUGUAGACUAUAUCAUUAUGUUAAUUUUUAAUGAGUAGAUAUCUUUAGUUUUUGUAUGAUAUAUAAAGUAUUUUAUAGGUGGUGGUAGUUCAGUUGAGUAAGAUAAUGUAAAAAUUGAGAUUUUCAAUUACAAUAAAAAUAUGUAGACAAUACCUGGUGAUAGCUGUCUCUGAUUUAUGAGUUCCGACCCAAUCUAAGCUUGCAGUCGCAUUUGAAAUGUUUACAAAAUAUUUGUACAUUUGUACUUAAUUAACCACGAAGGGAUUAUAAAAGUAAUGUGAUUUAUAUCUUAUCUAAAUAUGAUUCUAAUUCAUUGUUAAGAAGUCAGUUUUGCAUCAAAUCAUAUGAUUUUACUGUUAUAGUCAAGAAUUUUUGAUAUACAUAGUAGAGUUUAUAUAUUAGUAUACAUGUUCUUCAUAUUCUUUACAGGUAGUUGAAAACCCUGUCGGCAAACAAUGUGUUGGCACAGAUGGUACAUAGAAUCAUUUGAAUCUCUAAAAGACUGUUGACAACGUGGUGCAAAAGAUGUCAACAUAACCUGUCCAAUAGAGCAAUUUACAGACCAAUAAUGCCUUCAAAGGGUCUCUUUCGGAGUAAAUUCAGCAAAAUAUUGGAAGUAGAAGGUCCUGCAUGAUGUUGUAGUGCGUUGUUUUCUGGAACAGAUUCAAUGGUCUACGGUGAAGAUUUACCAGUUUGCUAUCAACUUACAAUACAAUUUAAAAGGAUAAACACCAUUGUGCUAUUUGAUAAUGGGAAUAAGUCGACAUUUUUAUUGUGUAGACAAUAAAAAUACCAGCUUUUAAUCACGUGCAUAAAAAUUGUAUUUUGUUGAUAAUUUCUUUGGUCUAUAGUGAAGUCUCUGACUAUUAUCGGAAUAUUCUUUAUUUAUUACAUUGUCAAUUGAGCGGAUAUGCUUCUAUCAACUAGCUUUUAUCUGAAUAUUAUCUAAUAAAGAUUUGUUCCGCGUAGAUAGGAGAAAGUAGCUAAUAUACAGAGAGACGCUGUUUAAAAAUAGUUGCCAAUGGUUGACAAAUCAAACAUAAACUGUUCUUGACACAGCUUUCAAGUUAUCAUUACAUUGCACUGAAAGAAUUGCAAAUAAAAAGG